rnacentral:lncRNA from 1 species
GGCACCUGCCACAAGAGGGCAGUACAUUUACUUGAAUUGUUUCUUCAAAAAUCUUCAACUGGAGAUUUUCCAAGCUACUUCCUCUUGCUGACAAACUGACGGCUUGUUUGAUGCCUCUCUGUCAUGAGGAGACGUGUUGAGUGCUCGUUGGGGACUUGUGUUUGCCCCGUGGCCAUGAGAAGAGCGCAGUGCUUUCUCUCAGCCUGCAAACAGAGACGCUUUCAUUUCCGCGCCAAGUGCUUCUGCCCUGGACGCAAACUUGGGGAAAAUUAAAAGUGCUUCACAAGCGCAUUAGACCACCAGGCUCUGAAUUACCACUCCAAUACACAAUGCGAUGUAUGGCCCGCCUCCUCUUCAGUCCUGCCGAAUCUCCAGGGUGCGAGGCUUUCUCUCUUUCUGUAAGAGGCUUUACUGCAGUCUUAUCUUACCCUUGUAACUGUCUCUUGUUGUCCAGAGUUUGGGUGUUUUGGGUUGUUUCAAUGAGUCAGGAGUGGGCGACGUGAGCCUGAAUUACAAAAUCAAACAUGUAUCGCAAUGCAUUCAACAUGGCUCGGAAAUAAGAAGUUAAAAGUAUUGUUUUUUGUAUAGAUUUUUAUAUUUGUAAUUGAUAAAAAUCAUUUAACCUGUAUUGUAUGGUGUAAAAUUGACUAAAAUGUUUCUUACA